UUGCCAAGUGUCAUCAAAACUAUUCGAUAUAAUUUGAGAGCACUUAAAAAAAUUUUCUUGGCAUUUGACGCACGGCAACGAAAUAUACGAGUUAUUUUUUCUACGUGAUGCGCAACACGUUUAAAACAUUAGUUUAAUACAUCACAUAUCUAAAACAACUUGAUGGUUGUAAAAUU